AUUCUCCUCUGACUGGGAGCCUCCUUUGGGUGCAGAGGACUUGAAAAGUUUGAAAGCGAUACGUGCGUACAUGAUCACAAUUAAGGUGCCAACUUGAAAGAGGAUAACUGGAAGAUUCUUCUAAUUUUUGAUUCUCGGAAUCCUAGCUGACAAAGUGUGGUGACACUACAAGGUGACAUCAAUGUGUAUUCCAACAUUACCAUGUGACAUAAUGUGAUGAUGGCAAUUUGGAGGAAAAAAGCAAAAAACUCAGUGAUGAGCAUUUGGAUUUUCCCAUGUUCUGCAAAGAUAGAUCUUUCAAUCAGGAAAUUGGCUGGAAAAAGGAAAGAUAAUCUAGGUCACUCCUAUCUAAAUAAGAAUGUUGGCAGAUGCAUUCUCUCCUCUCAUCUGGAAUAAUGAAGAAGGGAAGGGCAAGAAAAAUAGAAACUGUGAUAUUUUUCAUCCUACCAAUACUACAUAAUCUUGUGAGCAUUCAUUUGUCUUCUGUGCUUGGAGACAUUCUUUCUUCAACUGAAUGGCCAAUGUGAUAACAUGGUUCCUAAAAAUGGUUAUAAAUGGUUUUUCUGUCCAUAUGUGAAAUAAAGUGUCAUAACAGACUCCCUUACCCAUGGCAGACAACUGUUUGCACAAAUUCUUUUUCUAGUGUAGACGAGAACACACUGAUUCUGUACACAUUGACCAGCAGAGGAUACUAUACCCUUCAGCAAGGCUACAAUAAAAUCAUAGAAGUGUUGGACUGGAAGGGAUCUCAAGAGGUCAUCUAGUCCAGUCUCCUGCACUGAAUGCAGGACAUGCCCACUAACAGAUUCAUUUGCAGAGAGUAUUCAGCUGUGGCACAAGGAACCCAUCCUCAAUAUUUCCUACAACUGGUAUCAGGGCAUUUUAGAUAUUGCCUUUCCAAUAGGUAUUGAGACUAAGAGGAAAGGACAUGGUUUACUAACACAAUGUAAUGUAUUGUCCAGAAAAAGUGAUGUUACAACAUUUUUCAGAUUGUAUCUCAGACACUGAGGCCUGGACUGAAAUACAGUCACAGCUGUGUUGGGGAAACCAUUUACCCACACAGGUGUGUCACAAGCCUUUUGUAAUGUGGCAUGCUUUUUUUGGUGUGAAUCAGACCUAACAGUCUUAUAGGCAUAUUAAGGGAGCAUAAAUGGUCUUUAGAACAUCAUUGGCUAAAAGUUCAGGACACAGCUGUGCUGUAAUGGGUAUCCUAAAAUAACUAUAACUGCAGUGUAGCUGGGGCCAAAAACUGUAAUUAUAGGGAAGCACCUAGAUGAACUCCACACUUGUAUUUUCUAAAGCUGAAUAUAUCUAACAAACUCCUUGCUGGCUCUGUUUACCAAGCAAGUGUUCGUUGUCUCUUCAGCUAAACUAACACUAUUGAUAGGGCAAGUAUUUUAUGCAUUGCCCACAACCUCUUUCAUCCACUCACCCACCUAAAGAUCAAAGGCACUGUAACAUAUUUUGUCUUACUUAAUUUUGAACAUGUUUAAACAGCUGGUUUGCUUUAAUGAGCAACAUUCCGUUGGGAUGCUCUUUGCCCUCCAUCUGAGCUCUCAGAGAAUAAAACAUCUGCCACAGAUAGAAGAAUGUUUUUUGAGUCACAAUGUCAGUUUUCUGUUGCUGAGCCACAGAUUUUGCUGUAUUUGAAAAAUACAGAUGAGAGAAUUCAUUUUAUUUUAGAGGGGAGUAUUGUGCCUUUUGUCAGCCGCUCACUGGGAAAUGUUAGUCUGAGUAACGAGCUAUGUCAGAACUGUUUCUCAAACUCUCUCACACAGAGCUCUGAGUUACUCACUGGGAGUUAUUUAUACAGUUUCAGAGAAACUAGGAGGACAAUGCAUAUGCUUUCUACCAAUACCAUUAAGAACUGAAUUCCAUACAUAUAGUGGAAGAAAGGCAGUUCACUUUCUAUGAUAAAUUACAACCAUUAAGUAGGCAUGGACCUCUUCUGUCCUAACAUGUUACCACACUUUAUUUACAUGGCUACCAUGAUUAAAUAUGACUUUCUGCAAUUUUUUAAAGGAAUCCCAUGUGUGCCCCAUUUCCCCCAUGUGCUGUAGUGUUAUCUGGGGGUAGAAAGGGUGGUUUGCUCUCUUCAAAGACUCGGGUAUGAAUGGUUCCCAGCUGUCUGGGAUUUAGGCCCCAAAUCAAUGGAGCUUUUCAGAAGACAAUGGCAAAUCCAAUCACUGGGACUUUCAUAUCUAGCAACAAACAGUCAUGGAUGGCACAUUUCUCUGCAGGAAGCCAAGCAGUGUUUGACCUGCUGGAGAACAAAGGUCUGGGGAUGUGCCAGGAGGGCGGUUAAGAGUUGACUGCUGGAGGAAUCAAGGACACAUGUGAACUGGGAUGAAGGGAGGUCAGAAGGACAGGACUUUGGAUUCUGUGCUGACCAGGAUGGACUCUGCUGUAACUUUCUUUUCUCUAUGCUAACCAAGGACUUCCUAUGCUGUGUUCCAGUUGACUAAUAAACUGUUCAGUUUUAUAAUGCUGGCUGAGUGUCACUGCAAAUGCUGAUGGAGGAGGUGCCCCCUAAGGAUUGUACAAAUCUCCCUCAGGGGUCGUUCCCAGUUGGACUUACUGAAUGGAGCUCACAGUGUGAAGCAGGGGUGCUGAAAGACCAGAGGUCUGGCCUAAGGAGGCGGUGAACCUGUGUGGCUCACCUUGGAGGAAGUCUGAGGCACCUAGGGGGGCUGGCACACUUAAGGGGUCCUUCCAGAGACUGUUUCUUCCAAAGCUGGAGCCAUAGCACCAAUCCUGUGGAUCUAUGACAGUUACUUUUCUAGCUUCCUGGCUGCCCAUUGCACAGAUCUUGGACUCACAUGCCAAUAUAUGGCAAAUGGCUAGAGUGAGAGUACUGCGGACACGUACCUUUCCACUGCAAUGGCCACCAGAGUGAAAACUGAAGAUGAGACCGAC